rnacentral:rRNA from 1 species
UACGUAGGGUGCAAGCGUUGUCCGGAAUUAUUGGCGUAAGAAGCUGUAGCGGUUUGUCGCGUCUGCUGUGAAAUUUCGGGGCUCAACCCCGAACUUGCAGUGGGUACGGGCAGACUAGAGUGUGGUAGGGGAGACUGGAAUUCCUGGUGUAGCGGUGAAAUGCGCAGAUAUCAGGAGGAACACCGAUGGCGAAGGCAGGUCUCUGGGCCAUAACUGACGCUGAGAAGCGAAAGCAUGGGGAGCGAACAGG